rnacentral:tRNA from 1 species
CAUGUCGUGGCUGAAAGGCAAGGCGGCGGACUGCAACUCCGUCCUAUGCGGGUUCGACUCCCGCCGGCAUGUCCA